UACGUCGGUGGCACGCGUUGUCCGGAUUUAUUGGGUUUAAAGGGUGCGUAGGCGGUUCUAUAAUUCAGUGGUGAAAUCCGGCAGCUUAACUGUCGAUGUGCCAUUGAUACUGCAGGACUUGAGUACAGACGAGGUAGGCGGAAUUGACGGUGUAGCGGUGAAAUGCUUAGAUAUCGUCAAGAACACCGAUAGCGAAGGCAGCUUACUAGACUGUAACUGACGCUGAUGCACGAAAGUGUGGGGAUCAAACAGG
rnacentral:rRNA from 1 species